UCCCUGGUGGUCCAGUGGUUAAGACUCUGCACUGCCAAUGCAGGGGGCAUGGGUUUGAUCCCUGGCCAAGGAA